UUGAUAUAUCUACAAGCCAAGUAGCACCAAGGAUUACAGACAAGCUGAUCCUAUUGCAGAAGAGGGACUAUGUGGUCUGCUGGUCAGAGAGAUGUACUGGAACCCAGAAUGGGCCCAUAUUUUACAACAUAGCUGAGCAACUGACUCACUCUGUAACCCAGGGUUACAUCUCUUAACCUCAUGGGGCUUGUUGUCCAUCCAGCUGGAAAAUUUGAAGACUGAGGUUCCCUGGCCUGAGAGAAGUGAAGAUCCAGCCAUGAGAGGAGCUAGCCAGUGAAUCUGGUCCAUCUCAAUGAUAUUAAGUUUGAGGGCCAUUGUGAGUUUCAUCUCUGGGAACUGAGAGGACCCUGGAUGAAGCAACUCAUU
rnacentral:lncRNA from 1 species